rnacentral:rRNA from 1 species
UAUGAUCAAGCGACUAAGCGCAUACGGUGGAUGCCUUGGCAGUCAGAGGCGAUGAAGGACGUGGCAGCCUGCGAAAAGUGUCGGGGAGCUGGCAACAAGCUUUGAUCCGGCAAUGUCCGAAUGGGGAAACCCACCCGCAAGGGUAUCCCGCACUGAAUACAUAGGUGCUGGAGGCGAACCCGGGGAACUGAAAUAUCUAAGUACCCGGAGGAAAAGAAAUCAACCGAGAUUCCCUAAGUAGUGACGAGCGAACGGGGAACAGCCCAAAAGUCGAUUGUGUUCUAGAGGAGCGGUCUGGAAAGUCCGGCCAUAGAAGGUGAUAGCCCUGUACUUGAAAGGGCACAGUCGAUGAAAUUGAGUAGGGCGGGGCACGUGAAACCCUGUCUGAACAUGGGGGGACCAUCCUCCAAGGCUAAAUACUCCUGACUGACCGAUAGUGAACCAGUACCGUGAGGGAAAGGCGAAAAGAACCCCGGAGAGGGGAGUGAAAUAGAACCUGAAACCGUAUGCGUACAAGCAGUGGAAGCCCGCAAGGGUGACUGCGUACCUUUUGUAUAAUGGGUCAGCGACUUACAUUCUGUGGCGAGCUUAACCGUAUAGGGGAGGCGAAGGGAAACCGAGUCUGAAUAGGGCGAAUAGUCGCAGGGUGUAGACCCGAAACCGAGUGAUCUAUCCAUGACCAGGUUGAAGGUCGGGUAACACCGACUGGAGGACCGAACCCACUCCCGUUGAAAAGGUAGGGGAUGAGUUGUGGAUAGGAGUGAAAGGCUAAUCAAACUCGGAGAUAGCUGGUUCUCCUCGAAAGCUAUUUAGGUAGCGCCUCGUGUAUCACUGCCGGGGGUAGAGCACUGUUAUGGCUAGGGGGUCAUCGCGACUUACCAAACCAUGGCAAACUCCGAAUACCGGCAAGUGUAGAGCACGGGAGACACACGGCGGGUGCUAACGUCCGUCGUGAAAAGGGAAACAACCCAGACCCUCAGCUAAGGUCCCAAAAUUACCGCUCAGUGGGAAACGAUGUGGGAAGGCAGAAACAGCCAGGAGGUUGGCUUAGAAGCAGCCACCCUUUAAAGAAAGCGUAAUAGCUCACUGGUCGAGUCGGCCUGCGCGGAAGAUUUAACGGGGCUAAGCGGUAUACCGAAGCUAGGGAUUCAAUCGCAAGAUUGAGUGGUAGAGGAGCGUUCCGUACGCCUGCGAAGGUGGAUCGUAAGGUCUGCUGGAGGUAUCGGAAGUGCGAAUGCUGACAUGAGUAACGAUAAGGAGGGUGAAAAACCCUCCCGCCGAAAGCCCAAGGUUUCCUUGCGCAACGUUAAUCGACGCAGGGUGAGUCGGCCCCUAAGGCGAGGGCGAAAGCCGUAGUCGAUGGGAAGCUGGUUAAUAUUCCAGCACCGAUCGUGAUUGCGAUGGAGUGACGGAGAAGGCUAGGUGUACCGGGCGUUGGUUGUCCCGGGGAAAGGCGGUAGGUGGAACCCUUAGGCAAAUCCGGGGGUUCAUACACCGAGCACCGAGACCAGUCCUUAUGGACGAAGUCACUGAGGCCACGCUUCCAGGAAAAACUUCUAAGCUUCAGAUCACGACGACCGUACCGUAAUCCGACACAGGUAGGCAGGGUGAGAAUCCUCAGGCGCUUGAGAGAACUCGGGUGAAGGAACUAGGCAACAUAGCACCGUAACUUCGGGAGAAGGUGCGCCCUUUUUGGUGGCUCCGUGCGGAGCUGGGCUAAAGAGGGCCGCAGUGACCAGGCCGCUGCGACUGUUUAUCAAAAACACAGCACUCUGCAAACACG